CCGCGCCACUGCUUUUAAAGUGUGAAGGGAGACCCGUCUGUUCGAAUACUUCUUCCCCAGAUGCUAACGGGGAUGUCAAUUAGCCGUUACGUUGAGGCUUUGAUGGUGGGACGCCCACCUGGAGGGAAUUUCCGGUGAUGGUGGCCUCGUGACACACGGGCGAAGGGUGGGUUUCCUGGAUGAACGUCUGCGCUGUGUCUUCCUCUGGGCUGCCUGGCCCUUCUGAGAACCUGAGCUGUGGAUGCUUCAAAGUGAGAUGGCAUCACUGAAGGGAUCUUCGCCAACACUGCCCUUCAGACGGCGCAGACCCUGAAGCCCCCGGGCUGACGGCAGCCGGAGGUCGGGGCUGUGUCCCUUUCUCCCACGACAAAGUCACAGACGGCUCUGCAGGGAUGGAGUUAUCACACGAUCGCCUCACGGAGAGGUCGCCGUGCGGGGACUGCCUGCUUAGCCCGAGGAUUCGUGGAAGACCCAGCACAGUGAUGGUACGCAGUCGGUGCUCACUAAACGCCUGAUUGAACUAACAGCAAAUUCAGCUUUCUGAAUGCUUCCCGAUGUCCGCCAUUCCCGGGGUGAAAUAUUCUCCUCUCGGGGUGCUGGAACUUAUCCAAAACCCGGUUCCCCGGAACGUGACCCACGGACACGUCCUCCUGCCCACGGUGGGCGCCUGUGGGGCGGCCAAGCGCUGAGCAAACCAGCUGAAAGUCCACACACAAAGUGCUUGCAGACGCCGCAGCUUGAGUUUCUCUUGCCGCCCGGCGCUGUGGCCGUGUCCCCUGCGCAGGCUUCCGUGGAAGCGCUGUUCAAGCGUUGCCGACAAGCCAGAGCGAAGCUGCAGAAGCGAAGAGGGUGCACACAGAAAAACGCGGCCUGUUCCACGCAGCCCGGAGGGGAGCUUCCCAAGUGCUGAAUAGACGUUUUCUGAGCUUUCCCUCAGGCCUGCUGCCAACAGCUCGGUUUCCAAGGAUCACACCUGGGUUACAGAGAAAAAUUUGACUUUGCUUUAAGCUCAAGCCAGUGAGCGCAGCCUUCUCAGCCCGCCCCGGCCCCGGCAGCGCAGUGCGCGAGCGGGUGCCCGCGCGGGGAGGCUUUGUCACUCAGAUUUCUUCAGGGACGUUCUCCCCCCCGGGCGGGUGUCAGCGGCUGUGCGUUUCGGCUGCUACUGAUCUGCUGAACCUGAGCGAACAGUUCUGACUCCUUUUCAGAUCCGACUCCUCACCCCAGAGCCCCAGCAGCGUGCGCUGCGCUGCUUUGCUUUCUGGCUGCUGGAGGCCACCAGCAGCUGACAGGAGAGCGACACUCCUGCUUCGCCUUCUGGGCUCCGCAAACCCGGGCGCCCCGAGCGGCAAGGUGACCCUGGAGGCUUGCGGCUGUUUUCCAGCCUCAGUGAGGCUGAGUGACAUUCUGGGUGGGCAGAGCACCGCUGGUGCCCGGCUCCCAAACACGGUCGCCGCCUGCGAACAGGAGGACUUCCUGAUGGCAGAGCAGGUCGCUUUAUGUCUCUGCGGCAGUAACGAAAACACGCGAGCUUGCCCUUCUGUAAUGUAAACAGAAAAUUAUGCCUCCGACACAAACCCCCGCCACUAAGAAGGCAGCUUUUAUUCGUGUUGUAACUGGGGAACAGACGGCUGGAGCGCGAGGUGGCUCCCAGCUGUUGCUGGGGGAGCGGCGGCAGCGGCCACAUCUGGGCUGGCAUCUUUGAAGAGGCACUUAAUCCGCAGGCUGGGGUCUGCUAAGCCGCUUUGCUUUUCUUUGCGGCGUCUCCAGCCGCAGCCAUGGUGACUUCUUGUCACCGGGGGAGAUGCAGGAACGGUCGGGACAGCGACACCAGAACACGCCGGGCGCAAGAAUAAAGGGCAGGACAAAGGCCUUGAUCAGGCCGGCGGAAGACGCGCUUUGCCAGCUUGGAAGGUGCGGGACCCCGGCUGGGGGACAGAGAGCCGAACCCCCACCAGAGCCUUCAGCCCCUGUGCGAGGUGGGAGGUGGGGGCGUGAUGGCUGGGCCCCUCCUGGACCGUGACAUCACUGGGAGGGUGAGGUGGCGGCUCCAGGGGGCUGGCCUUUCUGCCUCUGGUCCCCGUGUGGGUGCAGGGACGUGGCCAGAGUGACGGCCCCCGGGACUUCCCCCACGUGUGACCGCCCAGUGGGUCUCAAUCCUCACAACCUGAGCUGUGACCCUCACAUCCACACUCCACAGCCUCCCAGGAGCUGCCCUGGCGGAGCUGCCUCCCGGAGGACACUCAGGUCCACGUCACCCUCAACGUCGGGGUCCCCUCCUGCACCUGUGGCCAGAAACAGUGGGUCCUGUCCUGUCCCCUUGGCUCAGGCGCCUCAGGGACCCCCAGCCCCCCCGCCCC